GGCUCGGCUGGUGGUCUCAGGUUUGAGGGGUAAGAGGGAUUGAGGGAGUGGCUGAAUGGAGGUUGGUUUCGGUUGUGCAGCAAUGGAAGACAACGAGUCGGUGAGGGUGGAUUCGGGUUUGAAGGCCACCGAUUGGUGGUGACGUUGGUAACAGUUGAGGGCCAUCAUAAACUUAGGCCAACCGCCGGAAGUAGCUGAGGGUAGGUGCGCAAAAUGUGCCUGGCGGCUGCUAGGGGACAACCUAACGUGAUGUGCUAGAAGGACUAGAUUGUAGAAGACGCAAAAAUCUCAGGGCCAAAAUGUAAUUUUAGAAAAAGUUGAGGGCCAAAAUGUAAAUAGUAUAUUUUUGUAUUUUUCUGAUUUUCCUUUUUUAUUAUUAUUUUUUAUUAUUCUUUUUUAAAA